UACACUCCUGCGGGAGGCAGCAGUGGGGAAUAUUGGGCAAUGGGCGCAAGCCUGAUCCAGCCAUGCCGCGUGAGUGAUGAAGGCCCUAGGGUUGUAAAGCUCUUUCACCGGUGAAGAUAAUGACGGUAACCGGAGAAGAAGCCCCGGCUAACUUCGUGCCAGCAGCCGCGGUAAUACGAAGGGGGCUAGCGUUGUUCGGAUUUACUGGGCGUAAAGCGCACGUAGGCGGACUAUUAAGUCAGGGGUGAAAUCCCGGGGCUCAACCCCGGAACUGCCUUUGAUACUGGUAGUCUUGAGUUCGAGAGAGGUGAGUGGAAUUCCGAGUGUAGAGGUGAAAUUCGUAGAUAUUCGGAGGAACACCAGUGGCGAAGGCGGCUCACUGGCUCGAUACUGACGCUGAGGUGCGAAAGCGUGGGGAGCAAACAGGAUUAGAUACCCUUGUAGUCCCAUGA
rnacentral:rRNA from 1 species